GACGAACGCUGGCGGCGUGCCUAAUACAUGCAAGUAGAACGCACAGUUUAUACCGUAGCUUGCUACACCAUAGACUGUGAGUUGCGAACGGGUGAGUAACGCGUAGGUAACCUGCCUGGUAGCGGGGGAUAACUAUUGGAAACGAUAGCUAAUACCGCAUAAUAUUAAUUAUUGCAUGAUAAUUAAUUGAAGGGUGCAAUUGCACCACUACCAGAUGGACCUGCGUUGUAUUAGCUAGUAGGUGAGGUAACGGCUCACCUAGGCGACGAUACAUAGCCGACCGGAGAGGGUGAUCGGCCACACUGGGACGGAGACACGGCCCAGACUCCUACGGGAGGCAGCAGUAGGGAAUCUUCGGCAAUGGACGAAAGUCUGACCGAGCAACGCCGCGUGAGUGAAGAAGGGUUUCGGAUCGUAAAGCUCUGUUGUAAGAGAAGAACGGGUGUGAGAGUGGAAAGUUCACACUGUGACGGUAUCUUACCAGAAAGGGACGGCUAACUACGUG
rnacentral:rRNA from 1 species